GCUGAGACUAUAGUCACAUCCCGACAUGGUGGUUGUCCUGGUGUGCUAGGGUUCUCAAAGAGAAUCUGCUGGUCUUGAUCUACUGGUAGCAAACUUCAGUGUCCUUGUUAGUGCCCACGUCAGAAACAUGU
ensembl:snoRNA